UCCGUUAUGGUGUAGUGGCUAACAUUAUCGCCUCUCAUCCACAAUUUCCCAUUUGACUGCGCGAUAGCCCAGGGUUCGAUUCCCUGUAACGGAA